rnacentral:tRNA from 1 species
GCAGUUCAGUGGCAGAACAUCUGCAGAAGAUCCUGGGUUCAAUCCCCAGCAGCUCCA